GCGAACGCUGGCGGCCGGCCUCACCCCUGCCAGUCGAACGAACCUUUCGGGGUUAGUGGCGGACGGGUGAGUAACACGUGGGAACGUGCCUUUAGGUUCGGAAUAACUCAGGGAAACUUGUGCUAAUACCGAAUGUGCCCUUCGGGGGAAAGAUUAAUCGCCUUUAGAGCGGCCCGCGUCUGAUUAGCUAGUUGGUUGAGGUAAUGGCUCACCAAGGCGACGAUCAGUAGCUGGUCUGAGAGGAUGAUCAGCCACAUUGGGACUGAGACACGGCCCAAACUCCUACGGGAGGCAGCAGUGGGGAAUCUUGCGCAAUGGGCGAAAGCCUGACGCAGCCAUGCCGCGUGAAUGAUGAAGGUCUUAGGAUUGUAAAAUUCUUUCACCGGGGACGAUAAUGACGGUACCCGGAGAAGAAGCCCCGGCUAACUUCGUG
rnacentral:rRNA from 1 species